rnacentral:lncRNA from 8 species
AUGGAGAUGAGUGGCCUCAUGAGUGUUCUGCUGGUCACAUCAGCAGCCUUGCUGUUUAUAGCUAACGGACAGAGCAACUAUGAUAUGUUGAGGGAGGUUGACAAGAAACAUGUUGACAUGGCUAUAAGAUAUGCAAAUAAGAAUAGUGAGUUUCAGAAAAACAAAAAAGAGCACCUCAAUUUUUUUCAACUUCUUGGACAACCUGAGAUCAAUGGUCGGGAAUUUAAUAUCAACUUGUUGUUGAAAGCAACAGAAUGCACUAAGGCCAGUAGUGAUAGUGAACAUAAACAUCACCCUGAAUGUCACUUUAAAUCCAGAAGGCCCUAUAUAAACUGUGUUGUUUGCAGCAAAGACUUCCAUGACAGCACUGACCCCUACAUUGACUGUGUUCUCCAAAAAGAUGUGAAGAAGCAAGAUGACAUCCGACAUAACAAGUGUUCACCUCUUCAACAUGGAGGGUAUUCAAUUUUAGCCUUACGUGACAAAGAAGACCUUCAGACUGGAUGCCUUGGCUGUUUCUGAUAACUAAUGAAAGUACUUGUCCAGCACUGAUGGUCAGAGGCUGUCCUUAUAAAGCACUUCUGUCUUUGGAUUUAUAAUGUAGCCUUUUGGGAGUUUCGGUUGGAAUUUGCAACACAAUUCAAUUGUCUCAAACUCUUUCCAAUUUUGAAUCCCUUUUAUUAUCGUAAUCCACAUAGAUAAAUAUUCUAAACGUACCCUUUUCUGAUUCUCCACAUAUAUUUAAAGAAAAAGGGAGAGAACAGUCUGCUACUUAGUAUUCACAUGGAUUACCCCACCGCUUAUUUCAAUGUUGUACGUUUACGAAAUAAUAUUACUGUUGAAAGUAAAGCUUACUCUAAUUUAACCAGUAUGAGGGGUGAAAAAUGAUUGCAUCAAAUGAAAUAAGGAUGUUAUUGGAUUCUUUUUUUCUACAAUUUUGGGAAGACAAUUGCCUGUAUGUCUUGCAGUGUAAAAUGAUUGCAGCUCUGUUUCUACUUCUCUCAGGGCAGAGUGCCUACAGUCUCAUCUCUGGACAGCCAGGUCUGCCUGUGACAGCAGACCACUACCAGGUUUUUAUAGGUAACAUAAUGAACUGGUCUGGGCCCUAUGGCCAGGCUGUGUUCACUGAGUCUGCACAUUGUCAAUUCAGUAUUUUCCUCAGUCACUGUGAUCAUAUGUCUGCCAUCAUGUACAACUGUGUCUGUAGACAAAACAGCAUUAAAGUUUGCUUUGGGUUUUGCCUUUCCAAUAGGUGAUAUUUUUAUUUUAGAUUUGUUUACGGGUUGGUUAACAACAACCGACAAGUGAGCAACUAUUGGGCAAAAGACGGAAUUGGCUUAUUUUGAUGGGUGGAUCAGCUUUAAUUUUGCAGAAGGAUUUCUUCCAUCAAUGUAAUUGUCUGCAUCAUUUCCAAUCCACCAUAAAUGUUUUUGAAUAUACCUUUAUUUUUCCCCGCAAACCCUACCACCCCUCCCCCAAUUGGAGUAAACAAAUAAACAAAAACACUUUGGCUCUACCUAAGGUUUAUACAUUUUACAGACAAUCCAUUUUACAAUAGUUAUAUUUUGUUUGUUUAGUCCUUCCUCUAUUUCUGAUGUCCAUCCAGUUUGAUUUCUAUUUGUAACUGUGCUAUUUCACAACAUUUCUGAACCUAUAUACAGUUGUUAUUAGUCACUCCAUUUAACCCCUCCCAUCUCUUAACAUCAUCCAUUUUGGAUUUCUAGUUGCCAUAUUUUUCAACUGUGCUGUGAUGCUUCACAAAAGUACUGAACCAGCUUCUACAGAUUUGUAAAUUAGUGAAUUUUUUUUUGCUAAAAUAAAUGACUUUUCAAAUCACCCAGUAUUGCUAUCUGCAGCGUUAAUUCUAGGUCAAUGUUGCAAUUCAUCAGCCAUUCCUGGACCUGUGGCCAAAAAUGACCUACAAAUGGACAGUACCAAAAUAAAUGACUCUGCCUCCUCACAGAAAAAUCUGCUGAGCUGGAAAGAUUGUUACAUAUGGGGAUACAUUCUAUUGGUUGCAAGAAUUUUGUAUAAUUUAAAUUGAAAAAUGUGAAGUUUUGAAUGCCAUGGAAUAGGUACAUCGAAAAUCUCAAUUUUGCAAUUUAUAUGGCACAGCUGUCAAUUUCCUUAUCCUUAAAGGGAAUUGGUAUAUUUUUCUUUACCCAUUUAUGGUCUUUAAUGCAGGGCCGACAGACAAGUUCCUUACUUUUUCCCCCUUCCAUUUUUUUGUGGUAAUGCUGCAAUUAGUUGGUUGUAAUUUUGGGUAGAUUAGACAUUUCCAUCUGUCUGUGUUAGCUGCAUGUAUGACAACUCCACCAGUCCUAUUUAUGAUAUAAUUUACAAAAAUUGUAACGAGUGUGCUGGGAGUCAGAAAGCAAGUUCAGGGAGUGCAUAAUUUAAUGAACAAAACAAGAAACAGAAACAUAUAGGGAAGGAACCAAAGGGAGUGACACACACACACACACACACACACACACACACACACACACACACACACACACACACACACACACACACACACACAGUCAUCCGGGAAGUGAUGGAGUCCAGGUGUGCAUAAUGAUGGUGACAGGUGUGUGUGCGCCAUAACGAGCAGCCUGGUGACCUAGAGGCCGGAGAUGGAGCACACGUGACAAUUAUACCUUUUUUAAACAUUUUAUUGAAAUCUCUUUUUUUUUUAAGCACAAUAUUUGUUGUAUUAUUUGUUCUGAAAUUGCAACCAACUUUAAGGCUUAUUUAAAAAAUAACGAGAUUGUUUUCAAACAACCGAAAGUGAACAGUUGUAAUCUGAAAAGUACUCUUUAAGAAUGUGAAAUGUCAGAAUGAUAGCGAGAAUGAUUGAUUUAUUUAUUUCAUCACAUUCCCAGUGGGUCAGAAGUUUACAUAUACUAAUUGAGUGUUUGGUAACAUUGCCUUUAAAUUAUUUAAGUUGGGUCAAAUCUUUUGGGUAGCCUUCCACAAGCUUCCCACAAUAAGUUGGGUGAAUUUUGGCCCAUUCCUCCUGACAGAGCUGGUGUAACUGAGUCAGGUUUGUAGGCCUCCUUGCUCGCACAUGCUUUUUUAAUUCUGCCCACAGAUUUUCUAUAGGAUUGAGGUCAGGGCUGAUGGCCACUCCAAUACCUUGACUUUGUUUUAACUUCCUGACUGGUGUCUUGAAAUGUUGCUUCAAUAUAUCCACAUAAUUAUCCAUCCUCAUUAUGCUAUCUAUUUUGUGAAGUGCACCAGACCCUCCUGCAGCAAAGCACCCCCACAACAUGAUGCUGCCACCCCCGUGCUUCACGGUUGGGAUGGUGUUCUUCGGCUUGUAAGCCUCCCCCUUUUUCCUCCAAACAUAACGAUGGUCAUUAUGGCCAAACAGUUCUAUUUUUGAUUCAUCAGACCAGAGGAAUUUCUCCAAAAACUACGAUGUUUGUCCUCAUGUGCAGUUGCAAACCAUAGUAUGGCUUUUUUAAUGGAGGUUUUGGAGCAGUGGCUUCUUCUUUGCAGAGCGGCCUUUCAGAUUAUGUCGAUAUGGGACCCGUUUGACUGUGGAUAUAGAUACUUCUGUACCCGUUUCCUCCAGCAUCUUCACAAGGUCCUUUGCUGUUGUUCUGGGAUUGAUUUGCACUUUUCGCACCAAAGUACAUUCAUCUCUAGGAGACAGAACGCGUCUCCUUCCUGAGCAGUAUGACGGCUGCGUGGUCCCAUGGUGUUUAUACUUGCGUACUAUUGUUUGUACAGAUGAACGUGGUACCUUCAGGCAUUUGGAAAUUGCUCCCAAAGAUGAACCAGACUUGUGGAGGUCUACAAUUUUUUUUCUUAGGUCUUGGCUGAUUUCUUUAGAUUUUUCCAUGAUGUCAAGCAAAAAGGCACCGAGUUUGAAGGUAGGCCUUGAAAUACAUCCACAGGUACACCUCCAAUUGACUCAAAUGAUGUCAAUUAGCCUAUCAGAAUCUUCUAAAGCCAUGACAUAAUUUGCUGGAAUUUUACAAGCUGUUUAAAGGCACAGUCAACGUAGUGUAUGUAAACUUGUGACCCACUGGAAUUUUGAUAGUGAAAUAAAUCUGUCUGUUGGAAAAAUUACUUGUCAUGCACAAAGUAGAUGUCCUUGCCAAAACUAUAGUUUGUUAACAAGUUAAUAACUCCAACCUAAGUGUAUGUAAACUUCCGACUUCAACUGUACAUGAAAACUGCCUUUACCAUAAUCAUGCAUGAUUUAAUGUGAGAAUUGUCACUCUGUCAUCAAUUACCUGAACACUUCAGUUAUAGCGACAAGGAUAGACGGACAUGGUGUCCACGCGGCACCAUGGGGAAAGAAAUGGACACAUAAUCGAGUCAGGGUACGUUGGGCUCAAGCCAGACAGAAUUUGGGAAACUGGUAUCUACAGUAGUUAUGAGGGGCUCAGGUGUCCCUCCGACAGUGAGGAGAAACAGUAACAGAACACAAGGUCAAAAAAACCAAAUAGGAGCUGCAGAGACCAGUAGAAAGGGAACUACGACCAGUCAGCAUUUCUAUGACUUUUGCAGCAUAACUGAGACACGGCCCGAGCAGUGCAACAGAGGAGCAACAAGGGGGUGAGGGGCUACCCCAGCGACAACAAGGGAGUCAGUGACUAAACUAACAACAGCGACAAGGGAGUCGGGGACUACCCUCACAACAAGGGAGUCGGACUGGGGCAGGAGCACUAAAUCACCCAGGGCCAUCAUCCCAACCUGUGCGACAGAUGCAUGCCUGCAUUUGGGGGGCAGUAGCCCCAGCCUAACCGGAACCCAUGCCCCGCCCAAGCCCGCGGGGCACCCCCAGCUCAUAUUCAGACAGCGGCUUGAGUCAGAGAGACGCUUGGGGGGGAAACCACCACCGCCCCUAACCCAUUAAGCCUAUUCUUGUGGGAGACCUGGGAUCGAAUCCUGUCAGUUUGAAAAUAU